rnacentral:rRNA from 1 species
GACGAACGCUGGCGGCGUGCUUAACACAUGCAAGUCGAACGGAAAGGCCCUGCUUUUGUGGGGUGCUCGAGUGGCGAACGGGUGAGUAACACGUGAGUAACCUGCCCUUGACUUUGGGAUAACUUCAGGAAACUGGGGCUAAUACCGGAUAGGAGCUCCUGCUGCAUGGUGGGGGUUGGAAAGUUUCGGCGGUUGGGGAUGGACUCGCGGCUUAUCAGCUUGUUGGUGGGGUAGUGGCUUACCAAGGCUUUGACGGGUAGCCGGCCUGAGGGGGUGACCGGCCACAUUGGGACUGAGAUACGGCCCAGACUCCUACGGGAGGCAGCAGUGGGGAAUAUUGCACAAUGGGCGGAAGCCUGAUGCAGCAACGCCGCGUGCGGGAUGACGGCCUUCGGGUUGUAAACCGCUUUCGCCUGUGACGAAGCGUGAGGGACGGUAAUGGGUAAAGAAGCACCGGCUAACUACGU